rnacentral:lncRNA from 1 species
UCUUUCAAUACCUGGAAGCAACCCUUUGUCUCAAACCAGAGGAAAUGCAUUAUACCUGCAUAGACUGAAAGAAGAGACUAAGUUUUAUUCUUUAACAAGUCCAGUAAGUUAAAAAGGUCUGUGUAGUUCCUGCUAUAGCCUUCAUCUGAAUUUCUCUGCCUUGUUUUUCUCAACCGGAAAAAGAAAGACAGCUUGGGAAUAUCUCAUAUUAAAUUAGAAAAAUUCUGUGGCUAAGCUCCUUAAGUAAAGGAGUUCAUUUUCGCUUGCAUUUCCCAAAGAAGAUUGAAGUGCUUCCUCCCCACCCCAUUAGCAAUGUACAGUAGCACUUCCUUAAGUGCAGGUUAGAGAGAAAUUAAGGGAUUCCUGGACAAGAAACUAAUGGAAUGCAGGCAAAAAGUCCAUCACUUCCCUGGAUUUCCACUUACAUGAAUAUAAAAGAGUCUAAUACAAGUAUUGGAAACCGAUAAUGGAAUAUAUGAAAGGGUGGCACCAAUUUGCUAGAAUUAUUGUUGGUUGUGGCACAGAGAGGUCUGAAAUGGAGGACAGACUCAUAUGAAUCCAGGCUCUCCAUCUGAAGACUGGAAAGUCAAGAAGGAGAGCUCUUGGAAGAACCUCCUCCCCAUUCCCUAUUUAGAAGGAUUAGUGAUGUGAUAGCCUGACCGAGGGUGACAAGGAGAGGACAUGUACCCCAGUGACAUGCCACACUCUGUGGGGCAAAGGAUGCUUUUAUUCCUGGCUUACAAGGAACACAGACAUCUGUUGCAAAGAGCCUCAUCUGGCUCCUCAUGAGGACAAACAUGCCAAACAGAACUGGGGCACUGCUGCAGCUAAUUCCUGGCUGCUCAACAAACACAGGAGCUCAGCUCCAGCCUGAGGACUGUUCUUCCCUCUGUCACUGCCUCUGGCUUUAGUUCUGGCUUAGUGACCUUUGACUCAAUGACCCAGGCUGGUUAGUAUUUAUACUCUUAAUGAAAAAUAACAUUAAAUCUAAAUCUUUACUUUUUAUCUUGAGUUUAAAGAUUUGGACAAAGAUCCAAAAAAUCUUUGACAGACUCAAUCUCAAUUCCCCAAACUAAACAAGUAGAGAUGACCCUUUUAGGGUGGGAAAACUGAUGAAAUCCAUUAGAGAGAUGCACAGAUAUUGCUGCUUAAAAAGGUGUCAGGAUGAAGAACCAGAUCAAAUGCCUUCUUAUGAACUAUUGUUACUGUUAAAAACAGAGGGGAAAAGUAGUUUUAAAUUUGUGAUAUUAACAUGAUAGGGAAGUGGUUAUUAAGUGUACAUAAAUAAGCAAGGUGAUCAUGAAGAAAACUGAGGUCAGGAAAAAAAGCAUAGGAAAAAAUUCCGAUUUCCAUACUUGAAACCUAAAUAAAAAUAGUACAUAAAACCUAAAUAAAUAUGGUACAUAUACAUAAUGAAAUACUAUCCAGCUAUAAAAAGAAGAAAACUCCUUAAUUUACAACGAUAUGGAUGGAACUGGAGAUAAUUAUGGUGAAUACAGAAAGACAAGUACUGGGUUAUCUCAUUCAUGUGGAAUCUAAAAAUGAUCUCACAGAAGGGAGUAGAAUGCUAGCUUCCAGAGGCUGGAGAAUGGGGGUGGGAUGGGGGCAGGUUGAUCAAUGGGUAUUAAGUUACAGUUAGACAGGAGCAAGAGGUUCUGGUGUGCUAUUGUACAGUAGGGUGACUAUAGACAACAAUAAUAUACUGUACACUAAAAAACAAGAAAGGAUUUUGAAAGUUUUCACCACCAAUAAAUGGUAUAGGUUUGAGGAGAUAGAUGCUCAACCUUAUUCAAACGAUAUCCAAUGUAUAUAUGUAUCAAACAUUACAUGGCACCUCAUUAACAUGUAUAAUUUUCAUGUUUUGUGUAUCAAUA